GCCCCGUAGCUGAGCGGAUGAAAGCACCGCGCUACGAACGCGGAGAUCGCAGGUUCGAAUCCUGCCGGGGCCA
rnacentral:tRNA from 1 species